GAUGAACGCUGGCGGCGUGCCUAAUACAUGCAAGUCGAGCGAACGGACGAGAAGCUUGCUUCUCUGAUGUUAGCGGCGGACGGGUGAGUAACACGUGGAUAACCUACCUAUAAGACUGGGAUAACUUCGGGAAACCGUAGCUAAUACCGGAUAAUAUUUUGAACCGCAUGGUUCAAAAGUGAAAGACGGUCUUGCUGUCACUUAUAGAUGGAUCCGCGCUGCAUUAGCUAGUUGGUAAGGUAACGGCUUACCAAGGCAACGAUGCAUAGCCGACCUGAGAGGGUGAUCGGCCACACUGGAACUGAGACACGGUCCAGACUCCUACGGGAGGCAGCAGUAGGGAAUCUUCCGCAAUGGGCGAAAGCCUGACGGAGCAACGCCGCGUGAGUGAUGUAGGUCUUCGGAUCGUAAAACUCUGUUAUUAGGGAAGAACAUAUGUGUAAGUAACUGUGCACAUCUUGACGGUACCUAAUCAGAAAGCCACGGCUAACUACGUG
rnacentral:rRNA from 1 species